rnacentral:rRNA from 1 species
CUCGUAGGCGGCCAACUAAGUCCGACGUGAAAUCCCCAAGCUUAACUUGGGAACUGCGUCGGAUACUGGAUGGCUUGAAUUCGGGAGAGGGAUGCAGAAUUCCAGGUGUAGCGGUGAAAUGCGUAGAUAUCUGGAGGAAUACCGGUGGCGAAGGCGGCAUCCUGGACCGACAUUGACGCUGAGGAGCGAAAGCUAGGGAGCAAACG